UGGGGAAUUUUGGACAAUGGACGAAAGUCUGAUCCAGCCAUUCCGCGUGCAGGAUGAAGGCCCUCGGGUUGUAAACUGCUUUUGUACGGAACGAAAAGGUCUCUCCUAAUACGAGAGGCUCAUGACGGUACCGUAAGAAUAAGCACCGGCUAACUACGUGCCAGCAGCCGCGGUAAGACGAACCGUGCAAACGUUGUUCGGAAUCACUGGGCUUAAAGGGCGCGUAGGCGGGUCGGCAGGUCUGAGGGU
rnacentral:rRNA from 1 species